AGCAGUUCGGCUGGGCACUCUGGGGAGACUGCCAGGGGUAACCUGGAGGAAGGUGGGGAUGACGUCAAAUCAUCAUGCCCCUUAUGAUUUGGGCUACACACGUGCUACAAUGGCGUAAACAAAGGGAAGCGAAGGAGUGAUCCGGAGCAAAUCUCAAAAAUAACGUCUCAGUUCGGAUUGUAGUCUGCAACUCGACUACAUGAAGCUGGAAUCGCUAGUAAUCGCGGAUCAGAAUGCCGCGGUGAAUACGUUCCCGGGUCUU
rnacentral:rRNA from 1 species